GAUGAACGCUGGCGGCGUGCCUAAUACAUGCAAGUCGAGCGAACGGACGAGAAGCUUGCUUCUCUGAUGUUAGCGGCGGACGGGUGAGUAACACGUGGAUAACCUACCUAUAAGACUGGGAUAACUUCGGGAAACCGGAGCUAAUACCGGAUAAUAUUUUGAACCGCAUGGUUCAAAAGUGAAAGACGGUGUUGCUGACACUUAUAGAUGGAUCCGCGCUGCAUUAGCUAGUUGGUAAGGUAACGGCUUACGAAGGCAACGAUGCAUAGCCGACCUGAGAGGGUGAUCGGCCACACUGGAACUGAGACACGGUCCAGACUCCUACGGGAGGCAGCAGUCGGGAAUCUUCCGCGAUGGGGGAAAGGCUGACGGAGCAACGCCGCGUGAGUGAUGAAGGUCUUCGGAUCGUAAAACUAUGUUAUUAGGGAAGAACAUAUGUGUAAGUAACUGUGCACAUCUUGACGGUACCUAAUCAGAAAGCCACGGCUAACUACGUG
rnacentral:rRNA from 1 species